GUAGACGCUAUACUCUAAGAUUAACCCAUGCAUGUUUAUUGAAUAUAAAGAAAAGACGAACAGCUCAGUAACUCUUAUUUAAUUUGAUGUAUUAGGAUUCUAACUAUGUUAAAUUAUAGGUAACAAUAAUACAAUAAGAAUAAGAUCUAUCAGUUAGUUGUUAAGGUAAUGGCUUAACAAGACUAUGACGGAUAACGGUAUUACUUUGUAAUAUUCCGGAGAAGGAGCCUGAGAGAUUGCUACUAAGUCUAAGGAUUGCAGCAGGGGCGAAACUUGACCUAUGAUAUUAUAUUGAGGCAGUUAUGAGUAGUAUUUUAUGAUUAUUGUAGUAUUGUAAGUACAUAUUACAAGAUAAAUCGGAGGGCAAAUCGAGUGCCAGCAGCCGCGGUAAUACUUGUUCCGAUAGUGUGUAUGAUGAUUGAUGCAGUUAAAAAGUCUGUAGUUUAUUUUAUAAUAAGCAUUGUAAGGUAUACUGUAUGGUUAGGAGAGAGAUGAAAUGUGAUAACCCUAACUGGAUGAACAGAAGCGAAAGCUGUAUACUUAAAUGUAUUAUUAGAACAAGGACGUAAGCUAGAGGAUCGAAGAUGAUUAGAUACCAUUGUAGUUCUAGCAGUAAACUAUGUUGAAUCAUAGAUAUAUUUUGAUAUAUAUUUAUGUAGAGAAAUUAAGAUUAUAUUGACUCUGGGGAUAGUAUGAUCGCAAGAUUGAAAAUUAAAGAAAUUGACGGAAGAAUACCACAAGGAGUGGAUUGUGCGGCUUAAUUUGACUCAACGCGGGGUAAUUUACCAGGUAUAACAUGAUAUAAUAUUUUAUCAUGAUAGUGGUGCAUGGCCGUUUCCAAUGGAUGCUGUGAAGUAAUGAUUAAUUUCAACAAGAUGUGAGACCCUCAUUUAGACAGAUGUAGUGAUACAUAUGAAGGAGAGGAUUAAAACAGGUCCGUUAUGCCCUAAGAUAAUCUGGGUUGCACGCGCAAUACAAUAAUAUUUGAUAUUAUAAGGGAUAAUAUAAUGUAAGAUAUAUUUGAACAUGGAAUUGCUAGUAAAUUUUAUUUAAUAAGUAGAAUUGAAUGAGUCCCUGUUCUUUGUACACACCGCCCGUCGCUAUCUAAGAUGGUAUUAUCUAUGAACAAAUUUAUAAAGUGAAUAGAUAGUACUAGAUCUGAUAU
rnacentral:rRNA from 1 species